rnacentral:rRNA from 2 species
AAAUUGAAGAGUUUGAUCAUGGCUCAGAUUGAACGCUGGCGGCAGGCCUAACACAUGCAAGUCGAACGGUAACAGGAAGCAGCUUGCUGUUUCGCUGACGAGUGGCGGACGGGUGAGUAAUGUCUGGGAAACUGCCUGAUGGAGGGGGAUAACUACUGGAAACGGUGGCUAAUACCGCAUAACGUCGCAAGACCAAAGAGGGGGACCUUCGGGCCUCUUGCCAUCAGAUGUGCCCAGAUGGGAUUAGCUAGUUGGUGAGGUAACGGCUCACCAAGGCGACGAUCCCUAGCUGGUCUGAGAGGAUGACCAGCCACACUGGAACUGAGACACGGUCCAGACUCCUACGGGAGGCAGCAGUGGGGAAUAUUGCACAAUGGGCGCAAGCCUGAUGCAGCCAUGCCGCGUGUAUGAAGAAGGCCUUCGGGUUGUAAAGUACUUUCAGCGGGGAGGAAGGUGUUGUGGUUAAUAACCGCAGCAAUUGACGUUACCCGCAGAAGAAGCACCGGCUAACUCCGUGCCAGCAGCCGCGGUAAUACGGAGGGUGCAAGCGUUAAUCGGAAUUACUGGGCGUAAAGCGCACGCAGGCGGUCUGUCAAGUCGGAUGUGAAAUCCCCGGGCUCAACCUGGGAACUGCAUUCGAAACUGGCAGGCUUGAGUCUUGUAGAGGGGGGUAGAAUUCCAGGUGUAGCGGUGAAAUGCGUAGAGAUCUGGAGGAAUACCGGUGGCGAAGGCGGCCCCCUGGACAAAGACUGACGCUCAGGUGCGAAAGCGUGGGGAGCAAACAGGAUUAGAUACCCUGGUAGUCCACGCCGUAAACGAUGUCUACUUGGAGGUUGUGCCCUUGAGGCGUGGCUUCCGGAGCUAACGCGUUAAGUAGACCGCCUGGGGAGUACGGCCGCAAGGUUAAAACUCAAAUGAAUUGACGGGGGCCCGCACAAGCGGUGGAGCAUGUGGUUUAAUUCGAUGCAACGCGAAGAACCUUACCUGGUCUUGACAUCCACAGAACUUUCCAGAGAUGGAUUGGUGCCUUCGGGAACUGUGAGACAGGUGCUGCAUGGCUGUCGUCAGCUCGUGUUGUGAAAUGUUGGGUUAAGUCCCGCAACGAGCGCAACCCUUAUCCUUUGUUGCCAGCGAUUAGGUCGGGAACUCAAAGGAGACUGCCAGUGAUAAACUGGAGGAAGGUGGGGAUGACGUCAAGUCAUCAUGGCCCUUACGACCAGGGCUACACACGUGCUACAAUGGCGCAUACAAAGAGAAGCGACCUCGCGAGAGCAAGCGGACCUCAUAAAGUGCGUCGUAGUCCGGAUUGGAGUCUGCAACUCGACUCCAUGAAGUCGGAAUCGCUAGUAAUCGUGGAUCAGAAUGCCACGGUGAAUACGUUCCCGGGCCUUGUACACACCGCCCGUCACACCAUGGGAGUGGGUUGCAAAAGAAGUAGGUAGCUUAACCUUCGGGAGGGCGCUUACCACUUUGUGAUUCAUGACUGGGGUGAAGUCGUAACAAGGUAACCGUAGGGGAACCUGCGGUUGGAUCACCUCCUUACCUUAAAGAA